AGCAUUUGGCCGUUCGCACCGAAAUCCAAAUGCAAUGUGGAGUCUGGACGCCACAAAUUCUUACACUUAGAUGCGUCUGAAAUCUUUGUUUGUGGGAAACUUAUUCAUUCUUCGCUCUGUUGAAUCAAAAGAAGCAUUGCAAUCGAACGAACUAGAAAUUUUGUCAGCAAUGACGGAGGAUAAUUGCCCUAGAGUUUCAUCUUCCGAAUCUUUAGACUCCAAUUCUUCAUCCCCGAAGCAAAGGAAGAGGAGAAAGUGGGAUCAGCCUGCGGAGACAUUUGUUCCAGAUGGAGUAGCAGUAUCUGGGAUUUUUCCAUUGGCACACAUGGGAUCUUUUGCUGGUGUCCCAUUACCUGGUGUAGCUCCAGUCUUAGGUGCUGCUUUUGUGAAUCCUCUUACCGCUAUUGGUGCUACUACAGUGCAGCAGCAUCCUCUCAUUGUUGCCCAAAAAUUAAUUCAACCAAAAAUUCAGGAUGAGUUGAUAGCAAGAGAAAUUGUCAUUAAUGACGCUGAUCCGGCUGUUCGUUACAGGCUCACAAAGCGCCAAACCCAGGAAGAGAUUCAGAAGAGCUCGGGCGCUGUGGUUAUAACUAGGGGUAGAUACAGGCCUCCAAACGCACCAUCUGAUGGUGAAAAACCCCUCUACCUUCAUAUUUCUGCUGGGGCACAUCUAGAAACAACACUGGAGAGGAUUAAAGCAGUUGAUCGUGCUGCCGCUAUAGUGGAGGAAAUGCUGAAGCAAGGUACUGUUAACAAUGGAUUGAAGGUCAAUCAUCUGCUUAGCACCUGUGUCUACCUGGGCUUUGAGGCUGAUCCAUCAGCAAAUAUUGCUGCUCGAAUUCGUGGACCAAAUGAUCAGUAUAUAAAUCACAUUAUAAAUGAAACUGGAUCGACUGUCUUGCUAAGAGGGCGUGGUUCGGGAUAUUCAGACGGAGGACAGGGUGAAGAUGUGCACCAACCUCUGCAUUUAAUCAUAUCAAACAAUAACAGUGCAAGUCUUGAGCGCGCAAAGCUUUUGGCAGAAAAUCUUUUGGAUACUAUUUGUGCGGAGUGUGGUGCUUCUAGAGUCUCUUCUUGUAAGGUUUAUGGUGCUGUUCCCCCUCCACCACAACCGUUAGCCAGCAGUCAGAGUUCUGGAAGUGAAUCAGAAGUCAAUAGCAUACCUGCAGCCAAUGUAGCUGCACAGAUUCUGAGCUCCACAACAGCAGCAGCAGUUCCCGUGACUGCAGCUGCAGGCGUGACUAAUGUUGUUUCUCACAGUACAUUGCCUCAACCUCAACCUGUAGGUUCUCUGAAUCCUGUGCCAUCUCAACCUCCCACCGGUUGCUAUCCUCAUCAAUUAGUUACAAGCAGAACAAGCUAUAUUGGUUAUGAUGGUAUAUAUCCACAAGUCACUCCUCUGCAGCAAGUUGCUUUGGCUCUUAGGAAUUCUACUUCUCCAGUCACCGCCACAGUUGCUCCAGCUACAACAGGAGCAAGCAUCACUUCACAGACAAGUAUAGGUUCUGAGAAGGAGAAGCGUCCUGCACAGAAGCGUAAAUUUCAGGAGCUGCCGGCUGCUGGAAAGGGCCAAGCAACUGUAAACCAGGUAAUUUCUCUGACCUUGUAUGAAGCUAACAGGCUGAUAGUGGAACUCUGUUGGACCUUUGUAUGUUUCACAGGAUUCUGGGACAUGGAGGCAUGGGUUGCUGCGUGCUAUUUCGGUUCUUUUUUAUGGUGCCGAUGCAUAGAGACCAUGCCCCUUUUGGUUUUGGCAUUCUGUCAAUUGUUUAUAAACUAAUUUGAAAUGCACAUUCUUAACCAAUAACCAACUUUGCCUCUACUAUUCAAAGGGUGAUAAGACUGAGAUCACAUUACAUUCUGCAUGUGAGGCUUUCAAACAAUUUCUUCUUCACUCUAAACAGAAAAUGUUUUUGUUUUGGGCAUCUGCAAUAUUUUCAUUUUCCAAACAUAAUGAUCUAAGCUCCUUGAAGGGGAGCCUUGGCGUAAUUGGUAAAGUUGCUGCCAUGUGACCAGGAGGUCACGGGUUCAAGCCGUGGAAACAAAUGCAAGGUAAGGCUGCGUACGAUAGAUCCUUGUGGUCCGGCCCUUCCCCGGACUCCGCACAUAGCGGGAGCUUGGUGCACCGGGCUGCCCAUUAAUGAUCUAAGCUCCUUGUAGCAAGUGACAGAAGAAAAGUUAAGUUGCAUAUCCAACAUUUGCAAGUUAUUCAAGUGGAAAUCAAUAAUUCUUAGGAUCAUACAUUUAUUUUAAACUUAGCUUGCUUGCUACUAUACAAGUAAAAGAGUGUUCAAGUAUGUUUUUGGAAAACUCAAAACUUUUACCUCCCUUCUUUCCUGGAAUUGAUAAGUUUUAUGGGUGGACUCCAUCUCCCUCUUUGGUUGUCAGAAUUCAUUGCAGGGUUCAGAGCUCCCAACGCCUCAGGAUCGAAUGUUAGACGCAGGUUAUCGAUGCAACAUUGGAGCGACUCCGAAAAAGUUGGUUCAGCCAUUAUCCAGUCCGAUGCCACCGCCACCUCCUAGGAUGAUGCCUCCUCCACCACCACCACCACCAAAGUUUCAUUCAUCAACAGAGAAAGUGCAUGCCAACAAUGUAGCUCACAAAACACCAUGUAAAAUUGUUCCAGAUACUUUAGUCCAGCUAAUGGAAUAUGGGGAUGAUGAUGACGAUGAUGACACUGAUGAAGCAAUUGACAGACCUUUGAAAAGCAGCUCAAAUGUGUUAGCAGCUCCGAAACCAUUCUGGGCUGUUUAAUAAUGAGCAUUGCACAUCUCUUGAAAAUUUUGGCAGCAGCUGAAUGUUAACUGGACUGAAUGAUCGUUUCAAUGUACCUGGAACUGGCUGGUGGAUUUUCCUUGGCUGAGGAUCAUGUUUAUUGUGAAAUAUUUAAUAUGUACCCCCACCCCCAACAACAAAAAAAAAAACCCAAAGAAAAAGACAAAGAAGCAAGGGGGGGACCAAAAUGGGGAAAGAGGAAAAAUAGAGAAGACUCUGUAGUAUUGUGCCAAGUUGAUAUUAGAUAGCAAUUGAUGUCCAACCCAAGAGGACUAUGUAUUUGUGGAGACUCCACAACCUUGUAUUUCCAUUAUCCUUUCCUCCAGGAAGUCGAAACUAGAAAUUCUUUGACGCUGUUGCUUGUAGUUUCAGUGUGAAAGUUUGAAGGAAUUUUUCUCACCGAACAAAGAAAUGGCUCCCAUUUGUUGAA